rnacentral:rRNA from 1 species
GACGAACGCUGGCGGCGUGCUUAACACAUGCAAGUCGAACGGAAAGGCCCUGCUUGCAGGGUACUCGAGUGGCGAACGGGUGAGUAACACGUGGGUGAUCUGCCCUGCACUUCGGGAUAAGCCUGGGAAACUGGGUCUAAUACCGGAUAGGAGCCAUUUUUAGUGUGAUGGUUGGUAAGUUUUUUCGGUGUAGGAUGAGCUCGCGGCCUAUCAGCUUGUUGGUGGGGUAAUGGCCUACCAAGGCGGCGACGGGUAGCCGGCCUGAGAGGGUGGACGGCCACAUUGGGACUGAGAUACGGCCCAGACUCCUACGGGAGGCAGCAGUGGGGAAUAUUGCACAAUGGGCGCAAGCCUGAUGCAGCGACGCCGCGUGGGGGAUGACGGCCUUCGGGUUGUAAACUCCUUUCGCUAGGGACGAAGCUUUUGUGACGGUACCUAGAUAAGAAGCACCGGCUAACUACGUG